UGGGGAAUAUUGGACAAUGGGGGCAACCCUGAUCCAGCAAUGCCGCGUGUGUGAAGAAGGCCUUCGGGUUGUAAAGCACUUUUGUCCGGAACGAAACGUGUCGGGUUAAUAGCCCGGCAAACUGACGGUACCGGAAGAAUCAGCACCGGCUAACUCUGUGCCAGCAGCCGCGGUAAUAAAGAGGGGGCAAGCGUUGUUCGGAAUUACUGGGCGUAAAGGGCGCGUAGGCGGCCUGCUAAGUCGAACGUGAAAUCCCCGGGCUCAACCCGGGAACUGCGUCCGAUACUGGUAGGCUUGAAUUCGGGAGAGGGAUGCGGAAUUCCAGGUGUAGCGGUGAAAUGCGUAGAUAUCUGGAGGAACACCGGUGGCGAAGGCGGCAUCCUGGACCGAAAUUGACGCUGAGGCGCGAAAGCCAGGGGAGCAAAC
rnacentral:rRNA from 1 species